GAUGAACGCUGGCGGCGUGCCUAAUACAUGCCAGUCGAGCGAGCAGAUGAGGAGCUUGCUCCUCUGACGUUAGCGGCGGACGGGUGAGUAACACGUGGAUAACCUACCUAUAAGACUGGGAUAACUUCGGGAAACCGGAGCUAAUACCGGAUAAUAUAUUGAACCGCAUGGUUCAAUAGUGAAAGACGGUUUUGCUGUCACUUAUAGAUGGAUCCGCGCCGCAUUAGCUAGUUGGUAAGGUAACGGCUUACCAAGGCAACGAUGCGUAGCCGACCUGAGAGGGUGAUCGGCCACACUGGAACUGAGACACGGUCCAGACUCCUACGGGAGGCAGCAGUAGGGAAUCUUCCGCAAUGGGCGAAAGCCUGACGGAGCAACGCCGCGUGAGUGAUGAAGGUCUUCGGAUCGUAAAACUCUGUUAUUAGGGAAGAACAAAUGUGUAAGUAACUAUGCACGUCUUGACGGUACCUAAUCAGAAAGCCACGGCUAACUACGUG
rnacentral:rRNA from 1 species